rnacentral:misc_RNA from 1 species
UGGAAGUAGGAGCUGAUGUAGAG